AAAGGUGAAAUUGAUUUGUUAUUUUAUAAUAAGUUAUUAAAAUUGAAGCCAACAAAUUUUAGCUAUAGACUAGGAUUAGAUACCCUAUUAUUCUAAAUUCAAAGUGAGCAAAUUAAAUAUAUAGUAGAUAAUUUCUUUAAAAUUAAAAAAUUUGGCGGUUAUUUAGUCUUUUCAGAGGAAUUUGUUUUAUAAUCGAUAAACCACGUAAUAUCUUACUUAAGUUUGUAUACCGUCAUUAUCAGAUAAUUCUUAGAAGAAUAAUUAUUAUAAUUGAAAUAAUUAAAUAAAUUAGAUCAUGGUACAGCUUAUAAAUAAGUAAAAAUGAGUUACAAUAAAUUAUUUUAUAUGGAAUAAUAGUUAUAAAAGAGGAUUUGAUUGUAUUAUUUUUUUUAAUAAGUAGAUAAUAUAUUAGCUCUAAAUUAUGUACAUAUCGCCCGUCGCUUUC
rnacentral:rRNA from 1 species